rnacentral:rRNA from 1 species
UACCAGCACCCCGAGUGGUCGGGACGAUUAUUGGGCCUAAAGCAUCCGUAGCCGGUUCUACAAGUCUUCCGUUAAAUCCACCUGCUUAACAGAUGGGCUGCGGAGGAUACUAUGGAGCUAGGAGGCGGGAGAGGCAAGCGGUACUUAGUGGGUAGGGGUAAAAUCCGUUGAUCCAUUGAAGAACACCAGUGGCGAAGGCGGCUCACUGGACUGGUAUUGACGCUGAGGUGCGAAAGCGUGGGGAGCAAACAGG